CCUCUCCGAACUCCGCCUGGAGCGCGUACGACGGCCGUGUACAACGACGAGUACAAAUAUACAGAUGACAUGGAGUCUCGACGGAGCUGUGGUCAAGGUGGUGCUUCAACGGAGAGUAAUCCUAGGUUGAGAAGGAGAGUGUCUGCCACGCGACGUUGGGGAGAGUCGGGUUGACGGUUGAUUACUGUGUUACUAUUUUUGGAAACUUUUCACAAUUUUAUUUGGAUUUUUUACCUUUUGCAUUUUGAUGGGAAAUAAAUUAUUCUUAAA